AGGACGAACGCUGGCGGCGUGCUUAACACAUGCAAGUCGAGCGGAAAGGCCCUUCGGGGUACUCGAGCGGCGAACGGGUGAGUAACACGUGAGUAAUCUGCCCCUAGCUCUGGGAUAGCUCCGGGAAACCGGGAUUAAUACCGGAUACGACCACUACGGACAUCUGUGGUGGUGGAAAGAACUUCGGCUAGGGAUGAGCUCGCGGCCUAUCAGCUUGUUGGUGGGGUAACGCCUACCAAGGCGACGACGGGUA
rnacentral:rRNA from 1 species